rnacentral:tRNA from 1 species
ACCUGGGUGGCUCAGUCGGUUGAGCGUCUGACUUUAGCUCAGGUCAUGAUCUUGCGGUUCGUGAGUUCGAGCCCUGCCUUGGGCU